GGAAUUCAUACAGGACUUCACUCAAGAGAAAUAUCCUGUCUGGAUUGGACUUAAUGUUACACAUCUGCGCAACACCUGGACCUGGGUGGAAGGCUCAGCCUUAGAUCAAGCCCUGUAAGUGUUUUCCUACAUUUCCUACAUUUGUACAAAUACAACCUUUCCUGUACAGUAAUAGCUUUCUCUGAAUUGCAGAUGCCUCAUUUCCAUAUUAGUGCCUUUGUCUUCUCUACAUUGUUAGCUUGGAACUAGUAUUUUUCCUUUCCAAGUUUUAUGUACCUCCUAUAAUAAGUAACUUUAUUAUUUUCUCCUCUACAGAUCUGUGUGUGUGUGUGUGUGAGAGAGAGAGAGAGAGAGAGCGCGCGCGCGCAACAAGUAAUGCCUACUCUAACCAAAUUCACAAGCCGCACUCCACACACCAAAUUUCAAUAGCUUCAAACUUGGUGUUUAGUGUGGAAUUGCCAUGCUUUAUUUCCUCUCCUUUUAUGGGACACCCGCAGUAUUUCCCUUGCAGUUCUUCCACCUUUUCUCAGAUCAUAGCAAGAUUAACUUUUUCCUAAAGAAAAGUAGCUCACGCUUCACAAGUUUCUUUAACACCACCCUACUAUGGUAGGGGGAGGAAUGUGGACAAGGACUGUGAGAUAUUGGGAACAUGAGCCUAUCGCAGCUCAGCACGUUGUCACACUACAAGCACAGUACAAGGUCCUCAAAUUGCGGGCCAGGCCUCCCUCACGAGGUACAUUCAGACAAUCAGGCUUGAGCAAGUGAGACUUCUUCCAAGGGCACAUUGUGAUUUUGCUCUAAAAUUACUAUGGCCACUCUUCUGUCAUCUUAGUCCCUCAGUUAGGAGAUUAGAUGUUUGUGGGGUUAAAAUUUGCAAACUGGGAAGUUCAGGUUAGCUUUCACAGUUGAUUACUGUUAUCCAUGGCUAUAGCUAAUCUGAACUUCCCAAUUUGGAGAUUAUAUGUCUUGGAGAAACAGGAUUAAAUAAAUGAUUGGAGGAUAGACUGCAGGCAGUGAUUAGUUGUGACCACUAAUUCAGACUGCUGUGUUUUUAGAUGCAAUAAUCCCUCAGAAUAUCAGAUUUGGGGAGCAGGAGAAGGAAAAUCCUCAGGAGCUUCUCAGAGACACUAGGCUAGCUGGACUAGAUCAGGGGAACCUUUCUUGGUCCAGCGGGCCAGAUUCUUCUCUUAUCACCAUGUGGUCCAACUUCCAUAGGUGGACAGGACAAUGUACUUGUCAACCAUCUGACAUAAUGGCAUCAGUUGAUUGACACCUAGUAGAGUCUGUCAGGCAGCUCAAGUUCCAGACAAAUGGCUGGUCCCUGUUGCUGGACAAGAUAUACCUUUGGUCUAAUUCUGCACGGUGCUUCAUGCAUUGUGAAAUUACUGACCAGUGGUUUUCUCUGUUUCCACAGGUUCCCACUGCCUCUUCCAGGAACUGGAGCUGGUUGUGGAGUUGUGAAAUCCGGUCAAGUUCGCUCUGAAAUGUGCACCACUGUAUU